rnacentral:rRNA from 1 species
GACGAACGCUGGCGGCGUGCUUAACACAUGCAAGUCGAACGGAGGAUCUAUUUCGGUAAAUCCUUAGUGGCGAACGGGUGAGUAACGCGUGGGCAAUCUGCCCUUCAGAUGGGGACAACAUCCCGAAAGGGGUGCUAAUACCGAAUACGAUCACGCCACCGCAGGGCGGUGUGAUGAAGCAUGGCCUCUAUUUAUAAGCUAUCGCUGAUGGCAGAUCGUGCGUCUGAUUAGCUAGUUGGUGGGGUAACGGGCUACCAAGGCGAUGAUCAGUAGCGGGUCUGAGAGGAUGAACGGCGACAUGGGGACUGAGACACGGCCCAAACUCCUACGGGAGGCAGCAGUGGGGAAUAUUCCGCAAUGGACGAAAGUCUGACGGAGCAACGCCGCGUGAGUGAUGAAGGUUUUCGGACUGUAAAGCUCUGUUGUUUAGGACGAAAGUGCCUGUUGCGAACAGUUACAGGUAUUGACGGUACUGAACGAGGAAGCCACGGCUAACUACGUGCCAGCCGCCGCGGUAA